rnacentral:rRNA from 1 species
GGGUUGUGAGGUUAAGCGACUAAGCGUACACGGUGGAUGCCCUGGCAGUCAGAGGCGAUGAAGGACGUGCUAAUCUGCGAUAAGCGUCGGUAAGGUGAUAUGAACCGUUAUAACCGGCGAUUUCCGAAUGGGGAAACCCAGUGUGAUUCGUCACACUAUCAUUAACUGAAUCCAUAGGUUAAUGAGGCGAACCGGGGGAACUGAAACAUCUAAGUACCCCGAGGAAAAGAAAUCAACCGAGAUUCCCCCAGUAGCGGCGAGCGAACGGGGAGCAGCCCAGAGCCUGAAUCAGUGUGUGUGUUAGUGGAAGCGUCUGGAAAGGCGUGCGAUACAGGGUGACAGCCCCGUACACAAAAAUGCACAUACUGUGAGCUCGAUGAGUAGGGCGGGACACGUGGUAUCCUGUCUGAAUAUGGGGGGACCAUCCUCCAAGGCUAAAUACUCCUGACUGACCGAUAGUGAACCAGUACCGUGAGGGAAAGGCGAAAAGAACCCCGGCGAGGGGAGUGAAAAAGAACCUGAAACCGUGUACGUACAAGCAGUGGGAGCACGCUUAGGCGUGUGACUGCGUACCUUUUGUAUAAUGGGUCAGCGACUUAUAUUCUGUAGCAAGGUUAACCGAAUAGGGGAGCCGAAGGGAAACCGAGUCUUAACUGGGCGUUAAGUUGCAGGGUAUAGACCCGAAACCCGGUGAUCUAGCCAUGGGCAGGUUGAAGGUUGGGUAACACUAACUGGAGGACCGAACCGACUAAUGUUGAAAAAUUAGCGGAUGACUUGUGGCUGGGGGUGAAAGGCCAAUCAAACCGGGAGAUAGCUGGUUCUCCCCGAAAGCUAUUUAGGUAGCGCCUCGUGAAUUCAUCUCCGGGGGUAGAGCACUGUUUCGGCAAGGGGGUCAUCCCGACUUACCAACCCGAUGCAAACUGCGAAUACCGGAGAAUGUUAUCACGGGAGACACACGGCGGGUGCUAACGUCCGUCGUGAAGAGGGAAACAACCCAGACCGCCAGCUAAGGUCCCAAAGUCAUGGUUAAGUGGGAAACGAUGUGGGAAGGCCCAGACAGCCAGGAUGUUGGCUUAGAAGCAGCCAUCAUUUAAAGAAAGCGUAAUAGCUCACUGGUCGAGUCGGCCUGCGCGGAAGAUGUAACGGGGCUAAACCAUGCACCGAAGCUGCGGCAGCGACGCUUAUGCGUUGUUGGGUAGGGGAGCGUUCUGUAAGCCUGUGAAGGUGUGCUGUGAGGUAUGCUGGAGGUAUCAGAAGUGCGAAUGCUGACAUAAGUAACGAUAAAGCGGGUGAAAAGCCCGCUCGCCGGAAGACCAAGGGUUCCUGUCCAACGUUAAUCGGGGCAGGGUGAGUCGACCCCUAAGGCGAGGCCGAAAGGCGUAGUCGAUGGGAAACAGGUUAAUAUUCCUGUACUUGGUGUUACUGCGAAGGGGGGACGGAGAAGGCUAUGUUGGCCGGGCGACGGUUGUCCCGGUUUAAGCGUGUAGGCUGGUUUUCCAGGCAAAUCCGGAAAAUCAAGGCCGAGGCGUGAUGACGAGGCACUACGGUGCUGAAGCAACAAAUGCCCUGCUUCCAGGAAAAGCCUCUAAGCAUCAGGUAACAUCAAAUCGUACCCCAAACCGACACAGGUGGUCAGGUAGAGAAUACCAAGGCGCUUGAGAGAACUCGGGUGAAGGAACUAGGCAAAAUGGUGCCGUAACUUCGGGAGAAGGCACGCUGAUACGUAGGUGAAGCGACUUGCUCGUGGAGCUGAAAUCAGUCGAAGAUACCAGCUGGCUGCAACUGUUUAUUAAAAACACAGCACUGUGCAAACACGAAAGUGGACGUAUACGGUGUGACGCCUGCCCGGUGCCGGAAGGUUAAUUGAUGGGGUUAGCGCAAGCGAAGCUCUUGAUCGAAGCCCCGGUAAACGGCGGCCGUAACUAUAACGGUCCUAAGGUAGCGAAAUUCCUUGUCGGGUAAGUUCCGACCUGCACGAAUGGCGUAAUGAUGGCCAGGCUGUCUCCACCCGAGACUCAGUGAAAUUGAACUCGCUGUGAAGAUGCAGUGUACCCGCGGCAAGACGGAAAGACCCCGUGAACCUUUACUAUAGCUUGACACUGAACAUUGAGCCUUGAUGUGUAGGAUAGGUGGGAGGCUUUGAAGUGUGGACGCCAGUCUGCAUGGAGCCGACCUUGAAAUACCACCCUUUAAUGUUUGAUGUUCUAACGUGGACCCGUGAUCCGGGUUGCGGACAGUGUCUGGUGGGUAGUUUGACUGGGGCGGUCUCCUCCUAAAGAGUAACGGAGGAGCACGAAGGUUGGCUAAUCCUGGUCGGACAUCAGGAGGUUAGUGCAAUGGCAUAAGCCAGCUUGACUGCGAGCGUGACGGCGCGAGCAGGUGCGAAAGCAGGUCAUAGUGAUCCGGUGGUUCUGAAUGGAAGGGCCAUCGCUCAACGGAUAAAAGGUACUCCGGGGAUAACAGGCUGAUACCGCCCAAGAGUUCAUAUCGACGGCGGUGUUUGGCACCUCGAUGUCGGCUCAUCACAUCCUGGGGCUGAAGUAGGUCCCAAGGGUAUGGCUGUUCGCCAUUUAAAGUGGUACGCGAGCUGGGUUUAGAACGUCGUGAGACAGUUCGGUCCCUAUCUGCCGUGGGCGCUGGAGAACUGAGGGGGGCUGCUCCUAGUACGAGAGGACCGGAGUGGACGCAUCACUGGUGUUCGGGUUGUCAUGCCAAUGGCACUGCCCGGUAGCUAAAUGCGGAAGAGAUAAGUGCUGAAAGCAUCUAAGCACGAAACUUGCCCCGAGAUGAG